UGUAGGCAGCCUGCCCCAGGUCCAGGGAGAUGGAGUAGGUAAAUCCAUCCAUCAGCUCCUCCUCACUCCCCAGUGUGGAGCUCUUCAAAGCCAUAGCCUGGUAGCGGGGUAGGAGGCAACCGGGGCUGCGUGGACCUCCCCACAGGGGGCAAUGUGGAACCCAAACCCUGCCCCCGAGGUCAGGCACACAGGGCCAUCUGCCUAGACCUCCAGUCCCUGGGGGAAGAAGAGGACACCCCCCCGGGCUCAGGAUUAACAUGUGGGUGGAAGUACCUGGUCCCCACACUCACCGCCCCCUCCUGCCCAGCCUUCAGUCCCCCCAUGCCCCACACCCACCGCACACACACAAGGAGCCGGGGGAAAGGUCAGCCCGGGAUGGGUCACACAGUGGCCUGGCCCUGGAGUGGCCCGCUCUGGGCUGCCCUGUGUUACCUCGGGGCUCCUCGGGACACACAGACAGAGGCGAAGGUGGUCUCUCAGCCAACGCCCACAGCGAGCAGGAAGACUCUCCCUCUCGGCUUCCCUGACUCCCACGCCUUCAGAAGGCUCCGCACAACAAGACCGCAUGUUGCUCUGUCGAGCGCCUCCGGUCAAGUGAGCAGGACUGGGGUCUGCGACCAGCAGCUGGGUUCCGUCCGGGUCACAAUUCAGGUUCUACUGGGCGUGUCUUCAGUGACAUCACUUCUUCGAGGGUCCAUUUCCUGGGCCCCUCCCUGCAUUCAGACACGCCCACAUGCCCCUCUGGGCUGCUGACUGCCCACCCUCCUGGCCCUUGCCAUGCACGACUACACAGAUCUCCACCAGAGCCCUCCUCUUGCUCUUUGGCAAUGUCACCAGGGUCCCAGCUCUGAGGAGACAAGAGCUGAGCUCAGGCCACUUUUUCUCCCCAGUUCCCUCUCCUGCUGAGGCCACAGCACCUCCCAGGAGCUACCCAAUGUCCCAACCUGCACAGGCAGGGUCACGCCAGACAUUCCUCCCUAGGGACAUCCCCAGGGAUAUAUGGAUGACACCUCCAGCUCACACACCUCAACAAACAAAAAGCAAAUAAUCCAAUUAAAAAAUGGGCAGAGGAGCUGAAUAGACAGUUCUCUAAAGAAGAGAUUCAGAUGGCCAACAGACACAUCAAAAGAUGCUCCACAUCACUAGUCAUCAGAGAAAUGCAAACUAAAACCACAAUGAGGUAUCACCUCACACCAGUAAGGAUCGCCACCAUCCAAAAGACAAACAACAACAAAUGUUGGCGAGGUUGUGGAGAAAGGGGAACCCUCCCACACUGUUGGUGGGAAUGUAAAUUAGUUCAACCAUUGUGGAAAGCAGUAUGGAGGUUCCUCAAAAAUCCCAAAAUAGAAAUACCAUUGACCCAGGAAUUGCACUCCUAGGAAUUUACCCUAACAAUGCAGCAGCCCAGUUUGAAAAAGACAUAUGCACCCCUGUUUAUCACAGCACUAUUUACAAUAGCCAAGAAAUGGAAGCAACCUGAGUGUCCCUCAGUAGAUGAAUGGAUAAAGAAGAUGCUGUACAUAUACACAAUGGAAUACUACUCAGCCAUAAAAGAAAACAAAUUCUACCAUUUGCAACAACAUGGAUGGAGCUAGAGGGUAUUAUGCUUAGACAGCAGCAGACCCCCAGACUCCAAGAAGGGACUAGCAGGGUAAACCCAGCUCUGUGGGGUCAGCCCAAGGCCAGAGUCACAGCCAAGGUGCAGCGUGAGGAGCCGGGGAGGUCCUGGAAGUGGGGGCGGAGCAGGGAAAGCCCACCGACCCACCCAAUGGUCCAGCCCCAGGCCUACCACCCUCUGACUCAGUUUCCCCUCCUGUAUAAUGG